GUGUCAGCAGCCGCGGUAAUACGUAGGGUGCAAGCGUUAAUCGGAAUUACUGGGCGUAAAGCGUGCGCAGGCGGCUUUGCAAGACAGAUGUGAAAUCCCCGGGCUUAACCUGGGAACUGCAUUUGUGACUGCAUGGCUGGAGUGCGGCAGAGGGGGAUGGAAUUCCGCGUGUAGCAGUGAAAUGCGUAGAUAUGCGGAGGAACACCGAUGGCGAAGGCAAUCCCCUGGGCCUGCACUGACGCUCAUGCACGAAAGCGUGGGGAGCAAACAGGAUUAGAAACCCCCGUAGUCC
rnacentral:rRNA from 1 species